CUUUUAAAAGCAAUAUGUAUAUAUAUACGUUCUUGUCAUUGAAAAAUAAAAUAAUAUAUAUAUAUAUCCCCUUUUUUUGAAAAGUUUUGCCUUCAAAAGAUUUAUUUGGAUUUAUUGAAUCUUUUGAUCCAAAACUAUCCUGAGGAAUUUGAUGGAGCUCUUGAUUUUAUUUCAAUGUCACAUGCUACUUUAGCAAGUGUGAAACCCUGUUAGCUGGCGGUUGCAAUGAUAGAAAAAUAGUCGUCUAUGAUUUCUUUACAAGAGGAACAGUGAAGAUCACUGUACUGAUGAUUCAUCAGUACUCAUCUACAGCCAGUCUGUUCACUAUGCUGGUCAAGGUGUAGAACACAAAUUUUAAGUGCAUCUGCAGACAGCACCAUAGCUAUUUGGGAAGUUCACCUUGGAAAAUGUAACCAAAGGUACAGGUUUUCUUCACCAAUUCUAAAAGUUCAGUUUCACCCAAGGAAAGCUGACACUUUUCUAGUUUGUCCCAUGAGACAUGCAGCUGUACUUGUUGAAUUAGAAGAAAAUCACAAGUUACCCUUAGAUGAAGAAGAUGUCAGUAUAUUUAUACUGGUACUGGGUUCAUCCUGGGACUGUGUGCCACAUCACUAGAAGUUAAUUUUCACCUGUUUUUCGGUUCCGAGGUACGAGCAGCUAAGAAUUAAAAACUAAAGCCAGAUUUAGUACUGAUGAUUGUCAAAUAGGAUUUUUAUCUUUUAGAGAAUUUAUACUGUUCAAAGACUUGCCGAGCUGGUUACUGGCAACGUAUUGAAAUACAAUAGCGAUAUUGUAACAAACGGAAAUCCAAAAAAUAAAAUUUUAAACGGCUCUUAAAAAAGGCCUCGGCUUGUUUAUUGAAUCGAGAGCUUCCCGAGGAAUUUAAAUGAGGGUAUUUGUUUUUUUUACCACAUUGAGAAUA